rnacentral:rRNA from 1 species
AUUGAACGCUGGCGGCAUGCCUUACACAUGCAAGUCGAACGGUAACAGGGAGCUUGCUCCGCUGACGAGUGGCGAACGGGUGAGUAAUGUAUCGGAACGUACCUUUUAGUGGGGGAUCACGUAGCGAAAGUUACGCUAAUACCGCAUAUUCUCUGAGGAGGAAAGCAGGGGACCUUCGGGCCUUGCGCUAAUAGAGCGGCUGAUAUCAGAUUAGCUAGUUGGUGAGGUAAAGGCUCACCAAGGCGACGAUCUGUAGCGGGUCUGAGAGGAUGAUCCGCCACACUGGAACUGAGACACGGUCCAGACUCCUACGGGAGGCAGCAGUGGGGAAUUUUGGACAAUGGGGGCAACCCUGAUCCAGCCAUGCCGCGUGAGUGAAGAAGGCCUUCGGGUUGUAAAGCUCUUUCGGCCGGGAAAAAAACGCAUGGGUUAAUACCCUGUGUGGAUGAUGGUACCGGAAUAAGAAGCACCGGCUAACUACGUGCCAGCAGCCGCCGUAA